rnacentral:misc_RNA from 1 species
AGGAGAAGUUAAGAGUUUUUCAUAUUGCUCGAAGAACUCACUAUAGUUAUUAGUCAGGUAUUGAGACACAGCAGAUUCAUGUUUGGUGAGUAAAUCCUUAAAGGUAGAAAAUGCAUCAGAAGCAACAUCAAAGUUUGGCAACUCCACGAACUUGAAGAACAAUCCAAAGCUGGGAGACUCCAAGAUGUAUUUUGCAAGGCUUGGCAAUUUUAUGCAUUCCCUAAGCAUACCUCCGCAAUGCAUAGCAAUUUCCUUGUUGUCAUAGCAAACAACUAGGAAGUCCAGCAAUUCCAAAUGAUUUUCCAUGUAUUGCACGCAACAAUAUGUGGAGUCAACUUUUUGCUUCAACAUAAUAGACCAACAAUGGACCAAAUUUUUUCUAGCUU